CGAAAGCCUGACGGAGCAACGCCGCGUGAGGGAUGAAGGCCUCUGGGCUGUAAACCUCUUUUCUCAAGGAAGAAGACCUGACGGUACUUGAGGAAUAAGCCACGGCUAAUUCCGUGCCAGCAGCCGCGGUAAUACGGGAGUGGCAAGCGUUAUCCGGAAUUAUUGGGCGUAAAGCGUCCGCAGGCGGCCUCGUAAGUCUGUCGUUAAAGCGUGGAGCUUAACUCCAUUUCAGCGAUGGAAACUGCGAGGCUUGAGUGUGGUAGGGGCAGAGGGAAUUCCCGGUGUAGCGGUGAAAUGCGUAGAUAUCGGGAAGAACACCAGUGGCGAAGGCGCUCUGCUGGGCCAUAACUGACGCUCAUGGACGAAAGCCAGGGGAGCG
rnacentral:rRNA from 1 species